AGAGUUUGAUCAUGGCUCAGAGUGAUCGCUGGCGGCGUGCUUAACACAUGCAAGUCGAGCGAAUUUCUGCAGUGUAUCGCAGGAGUUAGCGGCAGACGGGUGAGUAAUACUUGGGCAAUCUGCCCUUGAGUGGGAAACAACCGGCCGAAAGGCUGGCUAAUGUCCCCAUAAGACCACAGGGGAUGCAUAUUCCAGGGGUCAAAGCUCCGCAAGGGGCGCUUGAGGAGGAGCCCGAGUCCUAUCAUGGUAGUUGGUGAGGUAACGGCUCACCAAGCCUUUGACGGGUAGCCGGCCUGAAAGGGUGAUCGGCCACACUGGCACUGAGACACGGGCCAGACUCCUACGGGAGGCAGCAGUGGGGAAUUUUGGACAAUGGGGGCAACCCUGAUCCAGCGACGCCGCGUGAAGGACGAAGAUCUUCGGAUUGUAAACUUCUUUUGGAGGGGAUGAACGCCCUGGUGAAUAGCCAGGGGUGACAGUACUCUCAGAAUAAGCCACGGCUAACUACGUGCCAGCAGCCGCGGUAAUACGUAGGUGGCAAGCGAUACUCGGAAUCACUAGGCGUAAAGCGCAGGUAGGCGGUUUGGUAAGUCUUUUGUGAAAGCUCCCGGCUCAACUGGGAGAGGUCAAGGGAAACUACCGGACUAGAGUGUGGUAGGGGAUACUGGAAUUCCUGGUGUAGCGGUGAAAUGCGUAGAUAUCAGGAGGAAUACCUAUGGCGAAAGCAGGUAUCUGGGCCAUCACUGACGCUGAGCUGCGAAAGCUAGGGGAGCAAACAGGAUUAGAUACCCUAGUAGUCC
rnacentral:rRNA from 1 species